AUUGAACGCUGGCGGCAGGCUUAACACAUGCAAGUCGAACGAGUGGCGGACGGGUGAGUAAUGCUUGGGAAUCUAGCUUAUGGAGGGGGAUAACUACGGGAAACUGUAGCUAAUACCGCGUACCAUAGGAUGAGCCCAAGUGGGAUUAGGUAGUUGGUGAGGUAAAGGCUCACCAAGCCGACGAUCUCUCGCUGGUCUGAGAGGAUGACCCGCCACACUGGGACUGGAGCACGGCCCAGAAUCCUUCGGGAGGCAGCAGGGGGGAAUAUUGCGGAAUGGGGGCAACCUGAAGCAUCCAUGCCGGGGGAAUGAAGAAGGCCUUCGGGUUGGAAAGUUCUUUCGGUAGGGAGGCGUUAAAUAAAGAAGAAGCACCGGCUAACUCCGGGCCAGCAGCCGCUGUAAUAC
rnacentral:rRNA from 1 species